rnacentral:rRNA from 1 species
CUGCUGCCUUCCGUAGGAGUCUGGGCCGUGUCUCAGUCCCAAUGUGGCCGUUCAACCUCUCAGUCCGGCUACUGAUCGUCGCUUUGGUGGGCCGUUACCCCGCCAACUGGCUAAUCAGACGCGAGCUCAUCUUUGGACGAUAAAUCUUUGGCAGCAAAACCAUGCGAUCCCGCUGCAUUAUGCGGUAUUAGCAGUCGUUUCCGGCUGUUAUCCCCCAUCCAAAGGCAGAUUGCUCACGCGUUA